rnacentral:rRNA from 1 species
GACGAACGCUGGCGGCGUGCUUAACACAUGCAAGUCGAACGGAAAGGCCCUGCUUUUGUGGGGUGCUCGAGUGGCGAACGGGUGAGUAACACGCGAGUAACCUGCCCUUGACUUUGGGAUAACUUCAGGAAACUGGGGCUAAUACCGGAUAGGAGCUCCUGCUGCAUGGUGGGGGUUGGAAAGUUUCGGCGGUUGGGGAUGGACUCGCGGCUUAUCAGCUUGUUGGUGGGGUAGUGGCUUACCAAGGCUUUGACGGGUAGCCGGCCUGAGAGGGUGACCGGCCACAUUGUGCCUGAGAUACGGCCCAGACUCCUACGGGAGGCAGCAGUGGGGAAUAUUGCACAAUGGGCGGAAGCCUGAUGCAGCAUCGCCGCGUGCGGGAUGACGGCCUUCGGGUUGUAAACCGCUUUCGCCUGUGACGAAGCGUGAGUGACGGUAAUGGGUAAAGAAGCACCGGCUAACUACGUG